UAGAGGAAGUAAAAGUCGUAACAAGGUUUCCGUAGGUGAACCUGCGGAAGGAUCAUUAUUGAAUUUUGAGAGGGGUUGUAGCUGGCGUUCUCGGACGCAUUUUGUGCACGCCCUGAUCAUUAUCCAUCUCACACCUGUGCACACUCUGUAGGUGGGUUACUGGGGCUACUGUCUUUAUUGGUGGUGCUCUGUGGCCUUCCUAUGUUUUUAUACAAACUACUCAGUUUAAAGAAUGUCAAUUGCGUGUAACGCAUUUAUAUACAACUUUCAGCAACGGAUCUCUUGGCUCUCGCAUCGAUGAAGAACGCAGCGAAAUGCGAUAAGUAAUGUGAAUUGCAGAAUUCAGUGAAUCAUCGAAUCUUUGAACGCACCUUGCGCUCCUUGGUAUUCCGAGGAGCAUGCCUGUUUGAGUGUCAUGGAAUUCUCAACUCUAUUUGCUAUUUGUGAAUAGGGCUUGGACUUGGAGGUUUUGAAUGCUGGAUACUACUUUGUAUUCAGCUCCUCUUAAAUGCAUUAGCUCGAGCCUGUUGUGGAUCAGCUUCAGUGUGAUAAUUGUCUACGCUGUUCUGUGAAGCAUUAUUAUAUAUGGGCCUUCGGCUUCUAAUUGUCCUGUACUGGACAACAUCUAUGACCUUUGACCUCAAAUCAGGUAGGGUUACCCGCUGAACUUAAGCAUAUCA
rnacentral:rRNA from 1 species